rnacentral:rRNA from 1 species
UACGUAGGGGGCGAGCGUUGCCCGGAUUCAUUGGGCGUAAAGGGCUCGUAGGCGGUUUGUCGCGUCGGGAGUGAAAUCCACUGGCUUAACUGGUGGCUUGCUUUCGAUACGGGCAGACUGGAGGUAUGCAGGGGAGAACGGAAUUCCUGGUGUAGCGGUGAAAUGCGCAGAUAUCAGGAGGAACACCGGUGGCGAAGGCGGUUCUCUGGGCAUGUCCUGACGCUGAGGAGCGAAAGUGUGGGGAGCGAACAGG